AUGGCGGAAUUGCAACUUUUGCUCUCUGUGCAUCUCAUGAUCGAGUGCACUUGGUCCUCUGCCAGCGAGCUGUACGCCAAGACUGUACCCAGCGAGCUGGUGUACACGCAGACCUCCAGCAGCUUCACCGACGUGCUGGUCUCCUCCAUCAGGAACGGCAAGUUCUUCACCAACGCCACGGCGAGGCCGCUCUGCAUCGUCACGCCCCGAGACGCCUCCCACGUCCAGGCCGCCGUGCUCUGCGGCCGCGGCCAGGGCGUGCGCCUACGCGUGCGCAGCGGCGGGCACGACUACGAGGGCCUGUCCUACCGUUCGGCGCGGCCUUCUUCCGAGGCGUUCGCGGUGGUCGACCUCGGCGCCAACCUCCGGGCCGUGCGCGUCAACCGGCUCCAGUCCACGGCCUGGGUCGACUCGGGCGCCACCAUCGGGGAGCUCUACUACGCCAUCGCCAAGAACGACUCCCGGCUCGCGUUCCCGGCCGGCGAGUGCCCGACCAUCGGCGUGGGCGGCCACUUGAGCGGCGGCGGCGUCGGCAUGAUGAUGCGCAAGCACGGCCUCUCCAGCGACAAGGUGCUCGACGCCACGCUGGUCAACGCCGACGGCGAGCUCCUGGACAGGGCGGCGGCGGCGGCGGCAACUUCGGCAUCGUGCUCUCGUGGAAGGUCCAGCUCGUGCAGAUGGCAGGACGUGGCGCCGUGUCUACCCAGCGACAUCACCCUAAGGGCGAUCGUGCGAGGGCGGCAGGCCAUGUUCCAGGCCCUGUACCUCGGCGGGUGCGGCUCGCUGGUGGCCAUGAUGGACGACCAGUUCCCGGAGCUGGGCAUGACGAGCGCCGACUGCCAGCCGAUGAGCUGGGCGCAGUCGGCGGCCACGCCGUUCCUGAGCUUCGGCAGGAACGGCACGCUGGAGGAGGCGCUCCUGAACAGGACCACCGGGCUGAGCAGAUCACAUCUGCUCACGCGCACGCCCACCGUCGUCCCUUUGCUGCUGCUGCCGCCGGUGACUCCAUCCCGUCCGCCACGUACACGGUCGACGGGAGAGCAGGUCUCCGAAACCACGCCCUUCUGGUUCCUGUACGGGGUGAGGGGCGAAUAG
rnacentral:rRNA from 1 species